rnacentral:lncRNA from 1 species
UGCUGCCCCACCCACUUACAGGACAUAAGCAGAGACCAAGAGCAAUGCAUGUCACUUUGGUCCUUCAGGACUGCUGAAGACAUUGGAUUGACACCAUGUUGAUCUUCCCUGUAUCUGUAGAGACUCCUCUUCCAUCCAGACCCUUGAAUGGAGCCUGCCAUGAGAGAAUGAACCCAAGCUGUGGAUAAGAUAAUUAAUGCAGGUGCUGUUUACCUAGCAUCAUCUUACCUUGGCUCAUGGUGACCCAAACCUCCGUGUAAAAUGAGAAAUCUUUCUACAGUCCAACUUACUUCCUAUGAGAAAUUGAAUGUGAAGGUCACUUCCUCAGGACUACUGAAGACUUUGAAAGGGACUAUGUUGGUCUUCCCUACGGAUGGAGGGUUUCCUGCGAUCUUAACCAUUCAACUGCCUCCUUCCCUGAAAGAAUUGAGCCAAGAUUCAGAUAAGAUUCUUCAGGCAGGACACAGAACAGCCAGACCUGCUGUACAGACGGCUUGCACUGCACACCGCCCCAGAUCGCUGCAUAUGCAGCCAGCAGCUGUUCAAAUAAACAGACAUGGCUCAGAAGGCUUGGGUCCUUCUCCAAUUAGCUCGUGCCUGCAUAUAAAAGAUUUGGAGAGUACUGCGGUGUUCUGAAUGGAAAAGAGAGAGAGUAAGAGAAAGGCACUAGAACUCUGAAUCAGGUAAGAAAAAAUACAGACACACACACACACACGCACAUGCACACACACACACACACACACACACACACACACACACACCCAGACACACUCACCUGAAUUUUAGUAACCAAAUAGAUAUCCUUGGUUUUCCUGAACUGCCAUUUUGAAUAGUUCCCAAGGAAUACAUGUAAAACACAAUUUUCAUUAUUACAAUUUCAACUAUCUUUGUUUACUAUGUCUUCUGAGAAGUCAGGACUCUCAGGAAAAACAAAACAGUAUAAGUAAUUAAGGAGAGUACAAGCAAAGGUUUUACACAACAAAAACAUACAGGAAAGGGAAGUAUGGA